GGGUAACUAAAAUAGCCUCUAAACCAUAGUUAAAAUUUAACGACAGGUUAAGAUUUGUUAACGGUCACGUUAGCUAACGCUACCGUUAAAUCAACUUGAACAACAGCUUUUUAACCUUCCGUUAAGUAACGCCACGUUAAACUUUUUAACGACACGUUAAGGCUAACGCUACCGUUAAGUUAACGACAAGUUGAACAACCGGCCCC
rnacentral:lncRNA from 1 species